AAACAUCCCAGCCCACAUGCGCAGAGAGACCAUAAACGGGGACAAUAAAAUGGACAGUAUCUUAGCUGGCGACGAGUGCUAAGAAGAAAGAAUAAUGAAAGGGCAUUCGGAAGUGUUGGGGGCAGGGUAGGUUUUAUAGAGAGUGGGCAGGGAAGUCCUCACUGGAAGCUUGCACUUGAACGACCUGAAGGAGAGGAAGGAGCAGGUUAUGCAGCAGUGUGGGGAACGGCAUUCCUGGCUGAAGGAACACAAGCGCCUGUGAAACACGGAGGAGGCCAGGUGGCUGGACCAGAGAGAGGAGGGGGCAGAAUAAAUAGGAAAAGAGGAACACCCACUAACUUCUUGUCGGAUCUGAGAGAGUGAAUCAGCCCUGAUAAGCUGACUGUGAAGUUCCCGACGGUCAUAAACAGGGCCAGCGCAAGGCCAACAGAAAAUAGUGUUUUUCCCAACGCCACACCACAGCUGCAGAAUGACUAACACCUGGAGUCCUUGGCAUGCGGAUGAAAGCCCUUCUUUUUACAAGAGGAAAUCUCAAGCAUGCCAGCACUGCAAAGCCCAACAAAUUAGCAGACUAGUUUGUAAGAGACACCUGAGAUAAAGACAUCACAGAUGUAUCUGUUUACCAAGGCCUCGACGAUCAACCUGAACUUCUACGAGUUGCUGGAUUCAAGGGCAGACUAUGGGCUGCCUUUCUGCUAAUUAGAUUAUUUUACCCACCAAAUCAUCUUGGAGAAAUCCUGAAAAAGGCAGUAGUUUGUGCACAUAGUACUAUUUGUCUAGAAUUAAAGGUAAGCUCCACACAGAUGGAGAGUGGAAGACUGUGAUUGACUUUACUUUCACAAAGAGUUGAAUGCUGAGCGACCUCUACAACCAGCUGUUGCUGUACAAGCAUCUUCUCCUAGACUUCCAAGUCACUCCCUGUCCUGGGAUUGGACUGUAAUAAUACAGCCGUAGCUUUGCUUUGUAAAAGAGAGAGGACAAAGUAAAAAGGAGAAGACAUCUGUUACUUCUAGUCAGUUAAGCCUUCUAAAAAUAUUUCCCUUUUAGUGACCGUUUGUUAUUUUGACCUUUGAUCUUUUACUCUGGAAAUACGACCUUUGAAACUCUCCUACUUCCCUCCUCAUGUUUUUAAAAUGGUAAU
rnacentral:lncRNA from 1 species